ensembl:lncRNA
GGAACUGUAAACAAUGUACAAAAAAUGUAGUACAGCAUGAUAACCAACCUCAUUCAUUCAAUGCAGUGCAGUAAAAGGAUGGCUUAGAGUUACAAAUGUUUAUGCAAUACUAUGGAGUCAUAAGUAUUUUACACUACAUUACUGUAAUGCUAAAAUAGUCAUUAGAUAGUUGCAUACCUGUUCUCAUUUCUGAAGGUUCGAAUUAUGGACGCCACUGUAAAUCAACUCAAGUUGGGCUGGACUCUCAGUCCAGCCUCUCUCAUGGUCAAACCGUGGUUGAUCACAUGAUCAACAAGUGUUGCCCUAAUCUCAUCAGAGAUGGCUCUCCUUUUCUUCUCUUCUUUGCCCUCAUCAUCUUCUUCCUUUUCCUCUCCCUCCUACUCCUCUUGCUCUCUGUCCAUUGUUGGCAUCCAUUGUUCAAAACAGGUCAUCUGACCUUUGACCUAUUUAUAGGCCUAUACUACAGUAAAGCAGUGAUUGGUUAGUGAUCAGUUAAGCUAUUAGUGUUUGCACAUCAAAUCAAAUCAAAUUUAUUUAUAUAGCCCUUCGUACAUCAGCUGAUAUCUCAAAGUGCUGUACAGAAACCCAGCCUAAAACCCCAAACAGCAAGCAAUGCAGGUGUAGAAGCACGGUGGCUAGGAAAAACUCCCUAGAAAGGCCAAAACCUAGGAAGAAACCUAGAGAGGAACCAGGCUAUGUGGGGUGGCCAGUCCUCUUCUGGCUGUGCCGGGUGGAGAUUAUAACAGAACAUGGCCAAGAUGUUCAAAUGUUCAUAAAUGACCAGCAUGGUCGAAUAAUAAUAAGGCAGAACAGUUGAAACUGGAGCAGCAGCACAGUCAGGUGGAAGUUGAAACUGGAGCAGCAGCAUGGCCAGGUGGACUGGGGACAGCAAGGAGUCAUCAUAUCAGGUAGUCCUGGGGCAUGGUCCUAGGGCUCAGGUCCUCCGAGAGAGAGAAAGAAAGAGAGAAGGAGAGAAUUAGAGAACGCACACUUAGAUUCACACAGGACACCGAAUAGGACAGGAGAAGUACUCCAGAUAUAACAAACUGACCCCAGCCCCCCGACACAUAAACUACUGCAGCAUAAAUACUGGAGGCUGAGACAGGAGGGGUCAGGAGACACUGUGGCCCCAUCCGAGGACACCCCCGGAC